GAUGAACGCUAGCUACAGGCUUAACACAUGCAAGUCGAGGGACCGGCGCACGGGUGAGUAACACGUAUCCAACCUGCCCUUUACUCGGGGAUAGCCUUUCGAAAGAAAGAUUAAUACCCGAUAUAAAGGAUGGGGAUGCGUUCCAUUAGGUUGUUGGUGAGGUAACGGCUCACCAAGCCUUCGCUGGAUAGGGGUUCUGAGAGGCAGGGCCCCCACAUCGUAACUGAGACACGGGCCAGACUCCGACGGGAGGCAGCAGUGAGGAAUAGUGGUCAAUGGGCGGUAGCCUGAACCAGCCAAGUAGCGUGAAGGAUGAAGGGUUAUGGGUCGUAAACUGCUUUUAUAUAAGAAUAUGUGUUAGAUGAAUAAGGAUCGGCUGACUCCGUGCCAGCCGCCGCGGUAAUUC
rnacentral:rRNA from 1 species